GCCACUGUGGUGAAAUUGGCAGACACGAGGGACUUAAAAUCCCUUUCUGGAAACAGAGUGCGGGUUCAAGCCCCGCCGGUGGCA
rfam:Faecalibacterium sp. CAG:82 genomic scaffold, scf72